rnacentral:rRNA from 1 species
AGAACGCUGAAGAGAGGAGCUUGCUCUUCUUGGAUGAGUUGCGAACGGGUGAGUAACGCGUAGGUAACCUGCCUUGUAGCGGGGGAUAACUAUUGGAAACGAUAGCUAAUACCGCAUAACAAUGGAUGACCCAUGUCAUUUAUUUGAAAGGGGCAAAUGCUCCACUACAAGAUGGACCUGCGUUGUAUUAGCUAGUAGGUGAGGUAACGGCUCACCUAGGCGACGAUACAUAGCCGACCUGAGAGGGUGAUCGGCCACACUGGGACUGAGACACGGCCCAGACUCCUACGGGAGGCAGCAGUAGGGAAUCUUCGGCAAUGGGGGCAACCCUGACCGAGCAACGCCGCGUGAGUGAAGAAGGUUUUCGGAUCGUAAAGCUCUGUUGUAAGUCAAGAACGAGUGUGAGAGUGGAAAGUUCACACUGUGACGGUAGCUUACCAGAAAGGGACGGCUAACUACGUGCCAGCAGCCGCGGUAAUACGUAGGUCCCGAGCGUUGUCCGGAUUUAUUGGGCGUAAAGCGAGCGCAGGCGGUUCCUUAAGUCUGAUGUGAAAGCCCCCGGCUCAACCGGGGAGGGUCAUUGGAAACUGGGGAACUUGAGUGCAGAAGAGGAGAGUGGAAUUCCAUGUGUAGCGGUGAAAUGCAUAGAUAUAUGGAGGAACACCAGUGGCGAAGGCGACUCU